GAUGAAGAACGUAGCAAAUGCGAUAAGUAGUGUGAAUUGCAGAAUUCAGUGAAUCAUCGAAUCUUUGAACGCACAUUGCGCCCUUUGGUAUUCCUUAGGGCAUGCCUGUUCGAGCGUCAUUUAAACCUUCAAGCUCAGCUUGGUGUUGGGUGACUGUCCGCUUCACCGCGGACUCGCCUCAAAAUUAUUGGCGGCCGGUACAUUGGCUUCGAGCGCAGCAGAAACGCGAACUCGGGCCCGUCGUAUUGGCUCCCAGAAGCUAUCUUCACAAUUUUGACCUCGGAUCAGGUAGGGAUACCCGCUGAACUUAAGCAUAUCAAAAGCGGAGGA
rnacentral:misc_RNA from 1 species